UAGCGGCGAGUGUUUUCGAUCCACCGAGCCCUGGGUUAUGGGCCCAGCACGCUUCCACUGCGCCACGCUACU